GAAACACAAGGGAAACAUGUUAAAAAUCAAGAUUUCCUUGUUGGUUGGGGUUUUUGUUCGAAUGGACUCUUCCUUCUAGGUUGACUUACCCACAAGGUCGAGUUAUUUUAGAACUCUUUCUUGAAUGGUUCUCUUGCUGCCUUUUCUUCAUCUUGUCACCUCUUUUAGUUCAAAAAGGACUCUAGGAAUCGGAUUGUAGAAAAAGACAUGCGGGUGAGGUUCCAUGUUGGCAGGCUUCUCCUUAGCCUUAUCUACUUGUUGUGCGAUGCAUGUUAAAUGGUGUCCAAGUCAUGUUGGCUUGAUCUUCUUUCCUCUUCGGCCAAGAUGAGGCCCCUCUUAAGCCCACUAAGCCAGCGAGUGGCCUUCUAUUUCCCAAACCCGGAAGGUGAUAUCAUAUUGCUCGGUGGCUAAAAAAGUGCGAUAACAAAACAUAUACGAGUGCAAAAUAAUUUAUACAGUGGAAGAAAAUCAUCCCUUAUAAAAUAUUUGAAGUUCAAAUACACCUGCAGCCAAGAAUAUGGCUGACAACAUAUUUAACACAACAU
rnacentral:lncRNA from 1 species